rnacentral:lncRNA from 1 species
CCGUGCGCACCUUCAUCAAAGUGUUGGGCUGUUUCAGGCGAAUCACUUGUUGCUCUCUUCUCAAUUUCACGAAGAAAGAUAUCUAAAUUGGUAACUCUCUUCCCUUUUGUCUCUAAUUCAUUGAUAGAGUUUUGACCCUGCUCUAACAACAAGCAUUCAACAAGUCAAUGUUGCUUCGAGUGUUCGAUCUUUAAAUUUAUUUAUUUACUUGUGUAGUUUAUCAAAUAAUAAUAAUAAUAAUAAUAAUGCUCCUUCAAUGAUAUAAAAUUGUAUUGAAGGCUGUCCACGGAAAUAGUCUUACCAUCAACUCUUUGCCUUGAUGUAUUUGUGUAGCUAGAUCAUAAUCAACGGCAAUUCAAAACUCUGCAACUGUAAAGAAAAAUAAGAAACUACACGAGUCAUCUAACAAAACCGCUGAAAUACCAAUUAGGAAAUUCAAUUUUCAAAAAGUGAGGAAGAUGCGUGUGUGCAUUUUUACCAAUUUUUUGGAAAAAAAAAAACUAAAUCUGAAAAUGGUGACUUCAUGACUCCAUCAUUAUAUCUAAAAAUAACAGUUUCCAAAUAAAGGCACCAAAUUAUUCGAAUUUUACAAAUCUCUAAGCUGAAAAGGAGUAUCUAUAUUGUCAAAAGAGCAGCUUAUCUUAUGAGGACCGCUUCACACGAACUUGAAAGCUAUAUUCGAACUUCGGUUCCAUCAAUUUUGCCGUUCUCAAAAGAUGUUCGGACGACUUAUCGUCAACCUCAAUCAGU